rnacentral:lncRNA from 1 species
GUUGCAGCACAGCGUGUCACCAGAGAGGAAAAGAAUAUCCUUGCUGUGCCAAGAAAGAAAAGACCAUGGAUCUACUAGUUGCAGAUUUCAGCAGUAAUGCCAAGGGGGCAAGAAGUGACCAGCAGAACAAUUAGGCCAUGGCAACAGAAGCCAACUACAACCCAUGUUCCAAUCUAUGACCUCCCUCUCCUGCUGGUACAAGGAUAUGUAUUCCUUAGAGCAAAGGAUGCAAUGUCAAGCAAGUUGUGAUACCUCAACUAUCUACAAUUUAACACCAAGGAAAGAACACUGUUUGGAGAAAUGAGAAAGAUUAUCAUCAGUGUCUUUCAGAAGUCAUCAAAAGAAGAAAAGGAGAAAAGAGAGGAGAAAGCAGAAAGAUCUGGAGUCUGGGAAGUUCAAGAGCAUGGCACCAACAUCUGGCAAGGGCUUUCAUUCUGCAUCAUCUCAUGGAGGAAAAUAAAAAGAUUCACCACCAUCACUACUCUAAGUAUUUUUCUUCUUGAGAAAGAGAAGGAGAGGGAAAGCAAGGAAGAGGAAGAGAAAGAGAAAUGGAUAAAAACAUGGUCAAGUAGAAGAGUCUGUGUGUCUUCCAGAGUCCUCACGAGUAUCAGAGAAGGCAUAAUCUGUACACGUGGCUUCAUUUAAAAUGAAAAUAUCAAGCAGUGUCAUUUUCACAAGUAUCCCCACACUGUCUGAGGCUGAAAAGAAGAGUGUAGCUAUGCACACUGCAGUGAGAAGAAAAUUUCAGCUCAAUUGGAGGAUGUAAAGAUUGAAAUACCACUGCUCCUAGUUCUGAUGCAAAAUUGAAAAGAGUGCACUGGGUCUUCAAAUGGCAUAUUGACAAGGAGAAAGAGGAAAGGAUGCCCCAGGACAGCCUGGGGGUCAAGGCUGGGCUCAGGCAUGCCUGGACAAGCCAUGCAAGUUGUCUCCGGACUUGAACCACGUAUCAGAGGAGCUAUUUGAGGAGCCACAUCAGCAUACCUGCUUCUGUGGGCCCCCAGGCUGUGGUGCUCAGCCCUUGCACUAUGAAACAUUUUUUUUUUCCAGAAGCCAAAGCUUUGAGCAUCUCCUCCCAUGUAGAGAGUGUAUAUGUUUACGUCCAUGUCUUUCGCCAUGUGAACGCAUGCAACCACCACCUCAAAUAUCAUAAAUCCUCUCUCUCCCCCUUUCUGUCUGCCUGUUUAUCUACAAUCUGUCUAUUUAAAUUCUUUUUAAACAAGAAGGGAAUAUCUUUAUGCCUGUUUGUAGGGAUAUUCUACAUCCAUCUGUUAUUUACAUCAUUCGUUUUCCUGAGGUGUCUCCAACAAAUCCUGGCUGGAUGCACUGUAUGUGUUAUUAAUAAAACAGCUGUAAAAAUAUUAACUGUACGGCCUAAUUGUCAGCCCUGAUUGGGAGCCAAGUUUAUCCCCGGACGGAUGCGGAGACUCAGAAUUUGGGCUUCCAUCCAG